rnacentral:rRNA from 1 species
AUUGAACGCUGGCGGCAUGCUUUACACAUGCAAGUCGAACGGCAGCACAGGGAGCUUGCUCCCGGGUGGCGAGUGGCGCACGGGUGAGUAAUACAUCGGAACGUGUCCUGUUGUGGGGGAUAACUGCUCGAAAGGGUGGCUAAUACCGCAUGAGACCUGAGGGUGAAAGCGGGGGAUCGCAAGACCUCGCGCAAUUGGAGCGGCCGAUGCCCGAUUAGCUAGUUGGUGAGGUAAAGGCUCACCAAGGCGACGAUCGGUAGCUGGUCUGAGAGGACGACCAGCCACACUGGGACUGAGACACGGCCCAGACUCCUACGGGAGGCAGCAGUGGGGAAUUUUGGACAAUGGGGGGCAACCCUGAUCCAGCCAUGCCGCGUGCAGGAUGAAGGCCUUCGGGUUGUAAACUGCUUUUGUCAGGGACGAAAAGGACCGUGUUAAUACCAUGGUCUGCUGACGGUACCUGAAGAAUAAG